UCCCAUGGUGGGAAAGACCGGCGACAUUUCCCAGGCCUGAAAGCUUUGAUGGGUGCAACAUGUAUAGACCAUAAAAAGGAGAAAACAAGGAACUACUUAGUGUCUCCUGACUCAAGCCUUGCGUUUAGGAGGGGGAUGUGAGUUGAUAAAGUAAGCCAUUUCCUGGGAGGUGUGAGACAGGACUUCAAGACCUCAUGGUGCCAUUCGUGUAUUCUCCUGAAGAGUCGAUAAGAGCUUCAGACACAGAAAAAGCCUCGAAGAAAGCAGCAGUGGGGGAGGCACAAGAGCAUCGCAAAUGCAUAUGAAAAGAUCAAGGGGCUGCAUUUGCUAAGUCCCAACAGGAACAGAUUUGGGCUAAUGUCCUAGGGUUGUUGAGAAAAGAAUCUAAGUGUGAAGCAAAUUGUGCUCUGAUGGUUCUAAGCCAGAAGGCAACGGAAAGAGACAGAACUUCCCUGGUUUUCUUCCCCAUCCCCUGGAAGUUUCACCAUGCCACGGGACACAGGCCAAAGAGCAAACGUGUGUGUUAUUCUAAGAGACAACUGCAGUCCCAGACAGAGGGUGACUCCAGGCAGUGGUGACCACAGCAGCUCUCUACUGCCAUCUUAGCCAGGCCGCAUAUCCUUAGGAAACCACAUUUUCCCUCUUUUACAAUCAUAUCUUCAUUACCUGGCAGGCUGUCCUAAGGUCUUAGAGGUAAGAGAAGAAGGAGAGUGCCUCCCGUGAAGCACGGUGAAGGAAUGCUUGGAGGCAGCACUGGGGUUGACAUCGUGGGGGAUGUUGUAGAGCAGCGGUCCCAGUUUCCCUGCACAAAGUACACCCAGGCAACACCAGCUAGGAAACAAUUCGCAUACUUCAGCAGGUGGAGGAAGGAAGUGGCUUUUCAUGCACUGUAAUAUUCGAGGUGCAGAGGUUUUGCCUGGGAGGUCUGUGCUGCUACAAAUUUCACCUCCAGCUGUCAUCAUCCCAACACCCCUGAGUUCUGAAUGAGCUUCCCCCAAACCCAGCUUCAUUAUUUUCUUAGUCGCAAGUGUCCUGCUGGUGUAAAGCACUCUCCUGAAAGCUCUGGAAACUCCUGAUCAGGCCCCUGAAGGGGCUUUGGUGUGUGAUGCUCCUCACCAAUGUUUUUCACUGCGCAGCUACUGUUACCCAGCUUCCACAGUGGCACCCAGUGUAAAAGCAGCAACGGUGAUUUUAGAGGCUUCACUGUCACUGUUCUCCAGAGGCAUUUGGUCUUUCUAGAGCACUUCUUGUAAUGCGUACAGGGAAAAGGAAGAAAACAUACCCAAUGUUUUUCCGCCUUUCUGGCAUUUCAUCGCUUCCUAUGGCCCUCUCUCCUCCCAGCAAUGCAUGGCUUUAAGGCUGCAUAGGCCAGGUGGAAUAUAUUUUAGAGUGAGACUCUAUUUAGCCAUGAUGUCAGCUGCAGCCAACUAUAAAAAGAUCAGUAAUGCUCUUUGGAAGUGUAACAGCUGCUGCUCUGCACCCUCUCUUCUGUAUUAACACUCUGCCCUAUUUCAUGUGCACACAACCAAAAUAAAAUAUUAUAGCAAUCAUCUUGUUAUAUAGUUCAGGGAAUGUGGGACAUAAACUCCCCAGAAACUAGGAGGGAUUCAAGGUUAGCUGAACUGGGUAAUUUUACACAGUUUGUUAACAAAAAGGUAAUUUUAUCCUGAUUUGCAAUAUAGCCUGACUUUAACUUAGCACUUGACUAUGUGCCAUUAGCAGUUCCUACGCAGUGGCAAUACACCAGCGAAGCUUUUCUUUGGGCAGUUUUGCCUGAUGAUACUCACAUACAGUUGGGUAUAAAGGCAUAGAGGUAUGCUCUAGCGAUACAAGAAGCAGAGCAUUGCCCCCGUGGUUUGGCC